AUUUAUGUAGUUUAAUAAAAACAGUACAUUUUCAUUGUAAAAUUAAACACUUAGUUUCAUAAAUA
rnacentral:tRNA from 1 species